rnacentral:lncRNA from 10 species
CACUAAGUUGUGACUGGGGAACUUUACUCUCCUCACGUGCCUUUCUAAUUAUGCCUGAAAACCUCGCUCCUUUGUUAGAGACAUCCUAGCAAAAGCAGGGGCCAUUAUACACUAGAAUUAGGAGAAGGAAAAAGGGUAAAUAUACAUGCAGACUCUAAGUAUGCUUACCUAGUCCUCCAUGCCCUUGCAGCAAUAUGGAGAGAAGGGGAAUUCAUAACUUCCGAGGGAACACCUAUCAAACAUCAGGAAGCCUUUAGACCCCAAAAUUCUCCUUACCUCUGAGUCUGCUUCCUCUGAUCCCUGCCUAAAGAUAAUUUUAUGGGGAAGAGGAUUUGCUUGCCUCAGGUGCCUGUGUGGGUGCCCACCAAACAUCUGAAGAUCUAUCAUCAGCCACAGCAUCUAGUGGACCCACCUGUACAGUGCGAAUUUGAAGGUUUGAAAAGCCUCGAUUUGCUCUCUCUAUGCCUUCAGUUAAUCACAAAAGGCCUGUCUCAUCAGUGGCCGCCUGGCUACAACCACAAAAGUUUUUGCUUCUAUUUCAGUAGAUUUACUAACGUGGAGAUUGAGGGUAUGCUUUUGCCAGGAGAUGAACGAACCGUGUGGAUGACCUCAAGAUGUGUACGACCAUAGAAUUGGGGAGACUGGGGCGGGGGGGAACCCAUGGAUCCCAACCAUGGACCGGGUUCUCCCCCAGCAUGAGCCAUGAGACAGUUGAAUCUGAAUGCGAAGAUGGAACAAGGACUGACCAGAGUCACAAUGCUUAAUGGACCAAUGCUUUCUGACUCCUCUCUACCAUGAAUACAAGAGACCCUAAUAGUUAGGCAGGAGUAUCAUUGCCCCUAUUCAGCAUUUGAAGAAGUUACAGAAGACGGACCUUCAUCCUCCUGCAACCCCUAGGAUUGAGGGUCCCCUUGUAAAAGGCAAAGUGGGGGAGGUAUGUGGGAAGCAUUCAAACCAGAGUGACUCCAGUUUGAAUAAGGGUUAAAAGAAAAAAGCUGGGUCACCGGCAAUUAAGGACUACACAGCCUGCAAUCGCCUUGCUAACAAUUGCUAGUAAUGUAAUAAUGAUACCUUCCCCCUUACAAAAAAAGGCAUGUUGGGGGAAAAAGCUGAGUGUUGGGAGGGAAACUGAGGCAGGGCUUGCAUAAUGUCUUUGGAAUGUGUCUAGACUUACUGGCUCCUUGUUUCUAGCCUUCCUAGGCUCCUGUUACCAUUAUCUCAAGUAGCAGAACAUGUUCCUUAUAAAUGCUAAGCCAUCACAGCUGUAAAUCAUGUGCUUAACGCAAUGUGCCCUUUUGACCUCCACGUUCUCACCACCUGUUUCUUCGUUGCAUUACCAAUAAAUACCAUGGGCUCCCAGAGCUCGGGGCCUUCGCAGCCUCCAUACAAUAGUGAUGGCCCCCUGGCGUACCACCUUUUCCCCCCUCACCCCGCUCAAUCCUUUGACUCCGCUGGACUUCGUCACCCCGACGACCUGGUGUUGGGUCUGAUCACCCCAGCAAAGUUGGUGGUCGAAUGCCCAGCAUACACUCGGGCUGCAUGGUGGUCUAUUCGGGAAGAUGGAAAAUAGUGGCAGGACAAGGUCAGAGGCCUCCAUGUCAAGAGGAGCUACAAUCAGACCAAAUACAGAUCACAAGAUUCUGAACUUUGAGCCUAAUGCUGUGAUUAGAUUAGACUUCGGGAUGACUCCGGAGAUGAGACACAGAGAGUUUAACUCUCUCAAGGUCACACAGAGAGGCUUCAAGAUAUGUAAAUAUGGUCAUCAACAUUUGGCUAAUUAAUAUAAUGUAAUACUUUUAUAAUCAGAUGGCAUUUAAGGGUAAAAUGAAUAAACUUGCACUUUAAAAAUAAAACUAAUU